rnacentral:rRNA from 1 species
GUGCCAGCAGCCGCGGUAAUACGGAGGGUGCAAGCGUUGCUCGGAAUCACUGGGCGUAAAGCGACCGCAGGCGGCCUGACAAGUCGGAUGUGAAAGCCCUGGGCUCAACUCAGGAAUUGCAUUCGAAACUGGUAGGCUCGAGUACGGGAGAGGGGGGUGGAAUUCCUGGUGUAGGGGUGAAAUUCGUUGAUAUCAGGAGGAACACCGGCGGCGAAGGCGGCCCCCUGGCCCGCAACUGACGCUCAUGGUCGAAAGCGUGGGGAGCAAACAGGAUUAGAUACCCUGGUAGUCC